rnacentral:lncRNA from 1 species
ACAAAGGCACACAAGUAAGGUGGUGGUUUAAACACCAGAGUCAGAGCUCUACGCACCUUCUGGCAAAUUUAGAAGAUGAGAAAAAGAAAGAAAAGAGAACAUAGUGGAAAGAAAUAGGAGAAGUGGGAAGAAAUUAGCUCUCUGAAACAUGGAUGAAAGGAAAGGAGGACAAGAAAUUUGAAGAUCGAAGUUCAGAAUUGCAAAGUAGAACACCAAUAGAUUGGAUGGAGAAUCAAAAUAUAGCAGGGGAAAUAUAAACAAAAUAGAAGGGAAAUGAACUAGAGGUUGUCGCCGACCCCGGCCAUGCCUAGGGCCGACGGCUGAACAAAAAUCGGAUCGGGAAAGCUCACACACCAACAAUGCAAAAAGUUCUCAUAGAGAGAGAAGAACUCUCACCAGAACGGGUGAGAAGUUUGUCUUGUUGUAGGAUUACAUGACCGGUAAUUAGGUAUGUUGCCUUUAGAUCAAACAACCCGGCACAAACUCCCCCUCGUGACCAACUUCAUCGACCCAAGUUGUUAAUCUCGAGUCCAAUUAGCUAGCUCAUGGCUACAGCUGUUAACCGCAAUAAGAAGUUGGUUGCGAACAUGGUCAAAUUGUGAUAUAAUUGUUAGGAAAUUCUAUUUAUACUCAAAAUUUAUAGCUGAACUUUCAUAAAUGAAUGGUAAAGGUACCAAGUAACAUUAAAAACGAACUAUUAAUUUAUUUAAUACAUUUGGAAAAUUAAACGAUUUCCGUUUUGUAUGAUUUUUUGUAAGAAUUAUCUUCAAAUGAAGAUUAAGACUUUUUUUUUUGAACAAAAAUAAAGAUCAAAACAUUAAACGGUUCCAAUUAUAAAUUACGGUAAUGACACAUUAUUUAUAAAUGGAGAAAUGAACUCAUCCUCAAAAGAGUAGAGAAUACAAGUAUUAUUCAACGAGAAAAUUAUUCUAUUUUAUUCAUUAUCUUCUAGUGAUAAUUAAUCAUAUGUUAGAUAGUACGUGACAAUUGACAAAUAUUAGAUAAGAGGCUUUUAGUGAUAAGACUAAAACUAAUUGUUUUAUCCGCUGUGAUAAACAGUCCCUUUAAAUACAUACAGGAAAUCUCCAUCACCAACACCAUGCCAUCUGAGGCUGCAAUUGUCACGCAUGAUCCUCUGAUUGUGUAUAAACAAAUAAUCAUCCGUUGGGAGAAUUUUCCUGCUCAAAAGUAGUUGCCUCAACUCAUUAACCGUGCUUACGUCCUCCACUUCCAACGACAUCGUUGCCGCAUUGAGUAAACUCGACAAUGUUUGCACCACCACAUACAAUCUUCUCGCCGCCGGCUCUUAGACAACUCAUAUACUGUUGUGGAAGAUAACAAUCCUGAAAACGCACGUAUCCCAUACUCUUUUGAAAUGACACAUCCUACAAAUUCUUCUACCUUCCAUAUUUUCUCUUGUAAAUACAUGGUCCUAAAUUUUACAGUGAGAAGAAAAAAAUGAACAAACCCAGACAACCAAUUAAGAGGUAGACUGGAAGAAAGCUAAAGAUGAGUAAUUUUGGGUCUUAUCUCUGAACUGUCUAAAAUAAUCACCGAUUAUUGACAAUACAGAUCUCCGUAAUUUCAUACUAAUUAAUAGUCAAUCUAUGCUGGUCCAUCGAGUGAUUUAGCCUCAUUUCACUCCCUAAUAUCCUUAAUUGCAUAAAAGAAUUAAAAGCCCCCAUUUUUUCAUGUAUUUCUUUCCGGUGGAGUACUUCUCAGAACUAAUUCCAUAUCGUCAGAGACUGGAAUUCGAAGUCUUAAAUGUAUUCUUGCUGUGAUUCUUGGUCGCUGGUGGAUCCAUUGACAAAUCUGUAAGUUUUUCAGUUAUUCUUGCAGCCCCAAACUCAGACAUAGAUUUGCCUAUCUACAUGAAAGAAAGACAAUUCAUAGUCCAAAUUAAUAUCCCAAAGUACUGAUUAAUAUCAAAUAUUUUCUUGAGAAACAAACAGAGAAAAAUUUAGCUAGUUUUACGUACUUCUGCACGUACUAUGUGAAAUGUUGAGUCUCCCAAAGUUGAAAAGUUAGCAUGCACAACGUUGGCAUGUUCUUCGUCAAGCAGGCGAAUGAUGUCGUAGAAAAUGAACUGAUGAUUUUCUAAGCCACUUAUCAGUACUACCUCUAGUGUGGAGUCUAUCUCAUGGAUUUUGAUGUGGGGUGCCUUUGCGCUCUCAACAUUUACGCAUGCUGUAGCAUAUGAUCUUUUUCUAGUGCGCAUUAAGCUCUCCUUCUUCUCCUUUAGCUUCUGCAGCUUCGACUCUUUGGCUUUUUGUAGUUUAUGGCUUCAUCUAUUUGAUCUGUCUGACUUAGUGGCUCCUGCAUUCACAACAAACACCCACAUUCAGUAUUAGCUAUGAAUUUCAAUGUCUCAGAUCCUCAGUCCGACAAAGAUAUCUGGUGUAACAAGAGAGUAUUUCUGGCAUUGACAGAGAGAGAGACCUUAAAAGUUUGUUUAGGGAGGAGGGAGUAGAGGUUGAGUAAAGAAGUUUCAUACGAUUUCUCCUGUUCUUCUCAACAACCCUCCUUUCAACUUUGGUUGAAGAAGAUUCAUUUGCAUGAUUCCGAUCCAUUCUCUGGCAAGUUGGCCACAAAUAGUACUAAAUACAUAUAUUAUAUAUAUGAGACACACACACACACACACACACACAGAGAUAUAAUAUAAGUCUGUCUGGUGAGAAAAGUGCAGAAGGAAGAUGAAGUCUUUACUGUCUAGUGACUAGCAAGGAAAUCAAAGAGUAGAGUCAACGCGUACUACUGCUACUCUACUCGUCAUCCAAGUUACAUCAGCCAUAUUUAUUAGUCAGAAAGAAAGCCGCUAAGAUAGAAUUUUGCAUCCAAUUUAAGCACGUGGAUUUAUUAUAUUAGCCUGAGUUUAAUUGUUUCUGCGCCCUACUGAGCAUUCACACUACCAGAAAAUAUCUUGACGUGGCAGUGUGAUUUCUGUUACGCGGUUUAUGGAUAUUCUCCACGUUUUUUAUUCGUUUAUAGUUUAACUUGUCCUAUUUCAUAAGUUUUCACGUGAUUUUUUGUUUUUCUCAUCGAGGAUUGUAUUGAUAUUUUUGUCCUGUUUUUCAUCAAGUAGAAAUGGUUGCCCAAAAACAAAACGAGAGGAACGUUUACUUUAUGUUUUAUUCACGAAGAACAAUUCUAAAAAGGGCUAUGAGAUUGCAUUAAUAUCUAAGAAUUACAUUAAACAUAAUUAUUCAUCAACAAAUACAAAUCCUUUGACAACAAAUCUCAUCCCAAUAAACAACAUAUAACCAAAAAUAAAAAACGAAACAAGCUAAUUCAUGGAUACACUUGUUAACCACAAUAAUAAGUUGGUCGCAAACAUGAUCAAAUCGUGAUAUAAGUGUUAGGGAAAUUCUGUUUACACUCAAAAUUUAUAGCUGAACAUUCAAUAAAUCAAUGGUAAAUGUACCAAGUAACAUUAAUAAUGAAUCGUUAAUUUAUUUGACACAUUUGGAAAAUUAAACGAUUUUUUUUGUAAAAAUUAUCUUCAAAUGAAGAUUAAGACUUUUUUUUUUUUGAACAAAAACGAAGAUUAAGGCAUUGAACAGUUCCGAAUAUAAAUUUAUUACGGUGAAGACACAUUAUUUACAAGGGGAGGAAUGAGCUCAUCCGCCAGAGAAUGCAAGUAUUAUUCAACGGGAAAAUUAUUCUUCCUAUUUUAUUCAUUAUUUUCUAGUGAUAAUUAAUCAUUUGUUAGCUAGUACGUGACAAUUGACAAAUAUUAGACAAGUGGUUAAAUACUUAAAAAAAAUUAAUUAUUUUUAUUAUGACAAUAGAUGUACCGAGCCGUGUUCCUGACACGCUGAAAAAAAUUUCAAGGUCGCAUCCUAUUAUGGCGGAGCUCUGCAUUUCCUAUUAUGGUGGAGCUAUGCAUUAGCAAGAGAGUAAUUUUGGGUAUUUUCUCUAUAACAGUGGAAAAUAAUCACCCUUAAUUUGAUUAUUGUUGUGGCCUAUAUUUAACUGACAGGGGAAGUGGGUCGGCGGCAUAGAGAGAAUAUAGAGAGAUAUGUGUUUGUAGGGUUGUGUAGAGGAUGUUAUUAUUUCCCCUAUAUAGUGCCUUUAUUUAUAGUAAUAAGAGAGUGAAUAAAUCCUUCUCCUACAAGGAAUACACGUCCUAAUAGGGAAAAUAACUAGAAUCAAAUCUAAUUUAGGAUUUACACAAUCACACUUAAACAAGAAGUUUAUAACACUUCCCCUUGAGUGUGUAAAUACUCAAGUAGAUUCGGCAUCAAGUAGAGGUUGAGGAAGUCUACUUGUCAGUACUAAUUAUGGGACCACGCUAUUCUCAAAUAAGGUAGGAACUUGCAUAACGAACUAAGUCUCACAAAAAACCCUAUGGCUAUGGUAAAAACCCGAGUAGAGACAAAAUCCAUAGUCUAAGGAAAAAUGCGUGAGUAAUGCAAAGUCAAAUGAAUAGUCUACAUGACGUCAUCAGGGAUAUGAUCAACCCAAGGUGGGUGCCUUGUCAAAACCUUGUUAGGUAGCAAAAACCUAGUGAGAAAAAAUGCUCCUAAUUGUAGGGAAAAAGAGUGCAUUAAGAUCAAGCAAGUAUACUUCAGAAUACUCCCCCUGAGUUUGACACAAUUGCAAAAAGAACUAGCAAUGUUACAACUCAGAAAGUUUAAGCAUACCAAUUCCUUGAACAAGCUUUAACAAUUUUUAGGUUAAAUUGUAUAAUUUAAUAGGUAAUUAAUGGAUUAAUUGGGUAAUUAAUCUAUUAAUUUUACCAAUUAAUUUUUUGGAGGUUACUUUGCAAAAAAGGGAAUUUGAUGAGACGAAUAUUGAAUUGGUACCUCUUUGGAGCAUUUUUGAGCUGCUCGUGUAGGAAUCUCGGUGUGCCUCAAGGGUAGUUUGGUCCUCUUUUACUAAAAAAUCCACGUGUCGUCUUGUGAUUAUUUUUUGCUCCACACCACGGAUUUUGUGCAGAAACUUCAAAAAGAUUCUUGGUUUAUGAUUACAUGCCAAAUGGUUCUCUAGAAUCUCUUUUGUUCCAGAAGAGUCCGAUCGUCUUGAAUUGGAAAACUGAAUAUCACAUUGCUGUUGGGACUGCAAGAGGACUUGCAUAUCUUCAUCAUAGUUGCAGAGAAUGCAUCAUACACUGUGACAUCAAACCUGAAAACAUUCUGUUGGAUGGCAGAAUAUGCCCCAAAAUAGCUGAUUUUGGUCUUGCAAAGCUCGUGAGCAGAGACUUCAGCCGGAUAAUUACAACCAUGCAAGGGACAAGAGGGUAUAUUGCUCCGGAAUGGAUAUCAGGAGAAGCUAUCACAGCAAAAGCCGAUGUCUUUAGCUACGGAAUGUUGUGUUUUGAGAUCAUAUCAGGAAGGAGAAACAGAGAUCUUUUGGAUGAUGGGUUGCAAAACUACUUCCCCACUCGCGUUGCAAAAUGUAUUAACGAAAGGGAGAGAGAUGUCGAUACCUUGUUGGAUUGCAGGUUAGAAGGUAAUGCAAACAAAGAAGAAGUGAUGAGAGCAUGCAAAGUAUCUUUGUUGAUGCAUUCAAGAUGCGAGAACGAUAGGCGGACAAUGGGGCAAGUUGAUCAACUUUCUGGAAGGAGUCAUAGAUCUCGGCAUACCUCCUAUCCCACAGUUCCUCGACCGGUUUUCAAAGAGUCUAGUCGAGUCCAUACAUUACCAUAACAUUUAUUCCAGUACUGCUUCGGAUUCAAGGCGUGGCUACUCGAGUAGUAUUACUAUAUCUGGAGCUUAAACUUAAAAGCUACUAAUUUCCAACUUUCAAAUUUCCAUUUUCUUUAUUUUUGUUAACUUGCAGGAGAUUGUGAGUCCCCUCAUCCUCCGCUGUGGUUUUGCUUUACAACGUAAAAAUUGUUGAAAUAGUUCUCCAAACUUCAGUCUUUCUUGUCGUGUGCUUCUAUUUCUUUUGACUAAUUAAAUUAGAAUAUCGCUUGAAUAAAGGAAUAAACAAUUAAAAUCUUAUUUGGCCCAAACCUUCUGCAUAGUGCAUACCUCUUUUUUCCUGCAGACAUUUGGAAUUCGAGCAAAUAGCAUUUUCACAGAAAGCAAAUAGUGUGCUAUGCAAAAAGGACAUUCGAUAGAAAACGUGGACUGGAAAGGACAGUGUACCAAACAUGUUUUGGAAAUUCUACUGUUUUGACAAAUCCCAGGGAAUGUUGAGUUAUAUAUGUAACGUCAACAACCACGGAAUCCUCCGCAAUGAUGACCACACGUUUAAAAUGUCGUGGACUGCAACUCAACUUUCAAAGUUCAACGUCCUAUUUUCUUACCUUUUAGCCGUCUGGUUAAAAUUACACAGCUGAAAUAUUAAAAUUAAGGUACGGUACAAGCGGGUUGAAAGUGAUGUGUUAUAAUACAUGAAAUGGCUUGAACAACAUGAAUGAUGAUAUCUCAACCGAAUAUCAAAUGUUAUAUUGAGGUAUUGGUGCUAAAUAUAGACGUCAUAUCAACAAUAUCUACUAAAUAUCAAUAACAUAUUAACCUCUACCGAAUAUGAAUGACACUAACAACUACAUUAAUGAAUAUCAUUGCUUCCGUUGACGUUGUUGACACUUCCGACACGUCUUUCAUUUCACCCUUGGUUUAUUUGUUUUUCGUUUUGGGUUGGGGUUCACAUAUGGGUGGCAACCCGGUUGUACAAUAUAUUUUUUUUUUUUUGUUUGGUCAAGGGAAAGAUUUCCAUUCCAACAAAGCACAAAUACAUAAUGGUCUAGAUACACCUAGUCAGAACAAGAGAACAGCAUGACCAGAGACCUUGAAACCAUACAAACCAAAAACCUAAGUAAUUUACACCACUGACAUCACCAUAACACCUCAGAUUCUCUAUCAUCUUGCAGCCUAAAUUCCGAUCAAACAAAUUCCCAGGAAGGAGAAAACACAUAGCUACAUCAUCCUUGAACCAGCACCAGAUGAUCCGCCACCACAUCACAAGAGAAACUAAUGGGGAAGCCGAUGGGAAAACCAGAGGCAUCCGUGCCAACAAGGGCACACAAGUAGAAGGUGGUGGUGUAAACACCCGAGCCAGAGCUCUACGCACCUUCUGGCAAGUCCGCGUCAAAACGUGUUUAGGAGAUAUAGUUGUAGAUCGAGAUUGGUGUGAAAACAAGGAGGGAUGGAGCAAAAUUUAGAGGAUGAGAAAAAGAAAGAAACGAGAACAUAGUGGAAAGAAAUAGGAGGAGUGGGAAGAAAUUAGAUCUCUGAAACAUGGAUGAAAGGAAAGGAGGACAAGAAAUUUGAAGAUCGAAGUUUAGAAUUACAAAGUAGAACACCAACAGAUUGGGGAUGGAGAAUCAAAAUAUAGCAGGGGAAAUAUACGCAAAAUAGAAGGGAAACGAACUAGAGGUUGCCGCCGACCUCAACCAUGCUAAGGGCUGACUGCUGAACGAAAAUCGGAUCGGGAAAGCUCACACACAAACAGUGCGAAAAGUUCUCACAGAGAGAAAAGAACUCUCACCAGAACGGGAGAGAAGUUGUUUUCUUGUUGUAGGAUUACAUGACUGGUAAUUAGGUAUGUUGCCUUUAGAUUAAACAACCCGGCACAAACUCCCCCUCGUGAAACGUAGUUGGACCAACUUCAUCGACCCAAGUUGUUAAUCGCAAUAAUAAGUUGGUUGCAAACAUGGUCAAAUCGUGAUAUAAUUGUUAGUGAAAUUCUGUUUAUACUUAAAAUUUAUAACUGAACUUUGAUAAAUCAAAGACGAAAGUACCAAAUAACAUUAAUAAUGAACUAUUAAUUUAUUUGAUACAUUUGGAAGAUUAAACGAUCUCUGUUUUGUAUGAUUUUUUUGUAAGAAUUAUCUUCAAAUGAAGAUUGAGAUUUUUUUUUUUUAACAAAAAUAAAGAUCAAGUCAUUGAACGAUUCCCAUAAUAAAUUUAUUACGGUAAAGACACAUUAUUUACAAGUAGAGAAAUGAGCUAAUCCCCAAAAAAAGCAGAGAAUACAAGUAUUAUUCAAUGAGAAAAUUAUUCUUUCUAUUUUAUUCAUUAUCUUCUAGUGAUAAUUAAUCAUUUGUUAGAUAGUACGUGACAAUUGACAAAUAUUAGAUAAGAGGCUUUUAGUGAUAAGACUAAAACUAAUUGUUUUAUCCGCUGUGAUAAACAGUCCCCUUAAAUACAUAUAGGAAAUCUCCAUCACCAACACCAUGUCAUCUGAGGCUGCAAUUGUCACGCAUGAUCCUCUGCUUGUGUAUAAACAAAUAAUCAUUCGUUGGGAGAAUUUUCCUGCUCAAAAGCAGUUGCCUCAACUCGUUAACGGUGCUUACGUCCUUCACUUCCAACGGCAUCGUUGCCGCAUUGAGUAAACUGGACAAUGUUUGCACCACCACAUUCUGACCUAGUUUGGGAGUGAGGUGCUUAAAAAAAAAGCACCUAUGAAAAAAAGCUGUGAGGAUUUUAGGUGUUUGGUAAACUGAAAAAAAAAAUCUUAUUUUGGAAGCUGCUGUGAGAAUAAGCUGAAAUCAAAGGAAAAAGCUGAAGCUGCUAUUUGCAGCUUUGGAAAACUAGCUUUUUUUCAAAGCACACGGAGCUACAGUGCUCCUUUAAUGAAAAGACCCACUAUCAGCCUGCUUUUUUUUCCAAAAGCACUUUUACAAAAAAGUUUACCAAACGCUCUGCUGAUUUAUUUCACAGCCGCUUAUUCUCACAGCACAGCCGCUUAUUCUCACAGCAAUUUUUUUUCAAAGCACAGCAAUACCAAACCAGCCCUCUAUCUUCUCGCCGCCGGCUCCUCUCUUAGACAACUCAUACAGUGUUGUGGAAGAUAACAAUUCCGAAAAUGCACGUAUCCCAUACUCUUUUGAAAUGACACAUCCUACAAAUUCUUCUACCUUCCAUAUUUUCUCUUGUAAAUACAUGGUCUUAAAUUUUAUAGUGAGAAGAAUAAAAUGUACAAACCCAGACAACCAAUUAAGAGGUAGACUGGAAAAAAGCUAAAGAUGAGUAAUUUUGGGUCUUUUCUCUGAACUGUUGAAAAUAAUCACCGAUUAUUGACAAUACAAAUCUCCGUAAUUUCAUACUAAUUAAUAGUCAAUCUAUGCUGGUACAUCGAGUGAUUUAGCUUAAUUUCACUCCCUAAUAUCGUUAAUUGCAUAAAAGAAUUAAAAGGCCCCAUUUUUUCAUGUAUUUCUUUCCCGUGGAGUACUUCUCAAACUAAUUCCAUAUCGUCAGAGACUGGAAUUCCAAGUCUCAAAAGUAUUCUUGCUGUGAUUCUUGGUCGCUGGUGGAUCCAUUGACAAAUCUGUUAAGUUUUUCAGUUAUUCUUGCGGCCCCAAACUCAGACAUAGAUUUGCCUAUCUAAGAUCGGUGUUACAAUUGUUGCAAUCCAAGAUCGGUGUCUUUGACGGGACCACCGUCUUGCGGGGGCGUAAAAGGGAAUCUUCUACUCACCUGCUUGUCCACUAAGCCGUCUAAGUCCACUAGCUGUCCUUUCAUGAUUGCUUCCAUUAGCUAUUCAUGAUUGUGUCUAGUCCACUAGUUGUCCAUUAACCUUUCAUGACUCAUUGCUUGUCCACUGCUUCUAAGUCCACUAGCUGUCCUUUCAUGAUUGCUUCCAUUAGUCAUGAAUGAUUGAUUGUUGUCUGGCUCCUAUAAAGAGCACUUGUAAAUCAUUUGUAAGUUAACUGAAUAUACAUUCAUACUCACCUUAAUUGGGAGUAGAGGUUGGAGUAAAGAAGUUUCAUACGAUUUCUCCUGUUCUUCUCAACAACCCUCCUUUCAACUUUGGUUGAAGAAGAUUCAUUUGCUUGAUUACAAUCCAUUCCCGGGCACCAUGAUAUUCUCCACGUUUUUAGUUGGUUGUUGUGUAGCUAAAAUUGUCCAUGUUUGUAUUGAUAUUUUGGUCCUGCUUUCCCUUGACAAGGUUAAAAAGGUUGUCUAAAAAUUUCUGUAUACAACUCCUCCACGUCAAAUAAGCAAUCGAGUAUUUUUAAACAAAAAUGAAAAGGAUCACCAUCGAAUAUCUCUUGUUGCCAGCAUCAUCAAUAAUUCAUCACUCACGAAAUGCAAGUGGUUAAAUUACUCACAGAAAUUCAACCCACACGGUUCAAUUUUUCAUUGACACAAACUGAUCAUGAUCUCUAUGUCUAUGAUGAUGAAGACGAUAAUACAUCGUAAAUGGUUUCGUUUCAGUUAUGGAGUGGAGGGGGGAACUAUAGCUCCCUUUGGCCUUUUCUUGGACAUCAUGUGGCCCUGUCAAUGGUGCAUAUUCAUUUGCCUCUGCCUCUCUAUCUCUUAUGAAGAUACAAACUCUUUUUAAUGUAGAACAAAUGGCAUAAUGAAGCAAGGAUUGAUGGAACAUCUGAAGACCAAAGGAUGCAAUGGGAAUUUAUCUUUUUAGCGUCCGAGCUCGGGCUCGGGCUCGUGAUACAUUUUCAGAAGAAAACGACGCCAUGGGUCAAACUCAUCACUUUGCCAUGAUGUACAAUAGAUUUCAACCAUUCGGGAUCGUUUUAGCCUCCAAAAUGCAGUUUUAAGUUUGUAAUAAAAAUUUUGACUUUUUGUUUGUAAUCCGAAUUUAUUUUAUUAGUUUUUUGAGUUAUCCCAACAAUUGUAUUAUGUUUAUUUAAGCGAUUUGGCUAUUCGCAAGCAUCAAUUCAGAAUUAAACAAAUAUUCAUUUGUAAGCAUCAAUUCAGACCUGGGGUUAAAUUUAAGAGCUCGUUAGGCUUUUGUCAUUCUAGAAGCAUGAUAAAAAGUACAAUUGGAGAUGAAUUUUUCAACUUCUUUCUAAAUUUUAGUUAAAAGCACAUAUAGGGAGCCCAUUAAAGAUGUUCUAAAUAUUGUCAGCAAAGUUUUUACAAACUAUAUUUGUAGAGAAAUGUUAAGGAUAACUCUCUAUAAACUUUUUGCCACCUCAUAUUUAGUUGUGUGUCUUUGUACGAAUUAACAUUGACAACACAAAAUGUAUCAUUUUUUGGGGCCAAGGUUUGCUACAGCACAAAAUGCGUCGUUUUUUGGGGAAGAUGAUCCUCUCCUGAGCUCAAGAUGGGGAUCCUCCUGACUAGCCCAUCUGGGUCAUUCAAACUUAAUCCAACGGUUGCAAUUAUUAUAACUUUUAGAGGGUCCCCCUGUUUGGAGCUGUUAGAUUAAAUUUAAACGGUCCAGAUGGGCUGGUCAGGAGGAUCCCAUCCUGAGCUCAAGAGAGGAUCCUCUUUCGUUUUUUGGGGCCAAGGUCUGCUGUCUUCUGAUUGCAUUUAUUUUUGUCUCUUUGCGAUUUUUUUGACAUUUGACCCUCCACUCGUUCUAAAAUUAACACUGUUAACUAUUAUAUAUUUACUAAUUAUAAAAAUUAAAGAAAAAUAAAAACAACACAGUCAAAUAAUCACCAGACAACAACCUACUACAACCACCCCUAGUCACCGCCGAAGCUCAUCCGCACUGCCGGCAAAGUUCCUUUCUUUUUUCUCUCUCUCCUUGAGAUAUUUCUCUCUUGAAUUCUCGCACUAGAUCGUGAUCCAUUCAUCCAUCCAGUCAAACACCAAAUGUUUUGUGGAGUUGGAAAUUUGAGAAAGGAAGAUAUAGUGAAGAAUUCGAUAGAGAAAGAUCUCGAGGAGAGAGAUAGAGAAGGAACUUUGCGGUCGGUGAGGAUGAGCUUCGGCGGUGAUUGGGGUGAUUUGUUUUCAUCUUACUAAAAGUAAAUCUAGGCAGUGAUUUGUUCAUAUUCAGACCUUGAUUCCAUCUUAUUAUUCCUUUGUAUCUCUUCUCGACAGUUUUUUGUUGCUGCGAUUCAACCUUACAAAUUUGUGGCUUCUAAGUUUCUUUGAUCCGAGUCUCUGAUUCUGCUUUCUCUACUUUCUUUCCAACAUUAUUGCUUCCAUUAAGAGAAAAACUUGUUCUUUUAAGAGGUUUUAGAUUCCCUUCUCAACAAAAGUAAAUUUGGACCACAUUAUUGCUGAUUCAUUGUGAAGUUAAGCUCACAUUUUUCCUCCUUAAGAGAAAAACUUGUAUAAAGCUCAACUUGCCAUUGAAUUAUGCUGAGUGACACUACAAUUCAUUCAAAACUUGCCGUUUGUUUGAUUAAAAGUUUUAAAAUAUUAACAUUAAAACUGAAAAUGAUUAUUCAAAACUAAAACUAAAAAUAGAAAAAUAAAAACACAUACCCCAUCACCAGUACAUCUCCACAACAAUCCAAUUACCCAAACCAUUCAUUUAUAGUCUUCUUUUAAUUCGUAGAAGGCUUCUAUACACUCCUCUAUCCUUAAUGAGGCGAGAUUUUUUAAUGUCAUUGGAACAUAAGAUAGCGUACCACGUGAUUUAUUUUCAGAUUUUGUGAGAUGUGAUUGAAAAAGAAAAGUCGGAACAGUUAGUUAGAUUUGUUAAAUCAUUGUUAGUGGGUGUUUUUAUUAAAUAUACAAACAAGCGACAGCCAAAUCCGACCAAAUAAAACCCUCCUAUUUCUUUCUUAACAAAUUCUCCUCUUUACAACCUUAAAACACGUCGACAAUAAUUUCUGUAUCUUUAUUUAAAAAAAAAUAGACAUUGAUCAUUAGAGGAAAACAAGGUAUUUGUAAGGUUUAUUAACAUGUUUUUAUAGGUUUAACGAAUGAAAGAAAAUUUAAUGGAUUUAAAUGAUGGGGUCAGUUGGUAAGAAGAGAUUUUUCAGUAUGACCGUCACACGGUUUGAUACAUCAUGUGUCAUUAUAUAAAUAGUGGGAUAUGUGUGUCAAAAAGUUAAUAACUUAAAAAAUAUAAUUUUCUACUACUUACAUAAAAACACGUAGUAUAUCAUCCGUGUUCCUGUCACAAUUAAAAAAUUCUUGUUGGUGAGGACAAGGAGAGGGAUGAGGUGCACUUGAGACUAGGGGUGGGUUCGGUUUAAAUCGGUUCGGUUCAAUUUUUUUUCGGUUUUUUUUAUUCGGUUUUUUUUCGGUUCGGUUUUUUCCGGUUCGGUUUCGGUUUUUUGUUUUUAUUUUUUUUCAAAAAAUGAAAAACAUUGAAAUUUUAAAUUUUAACAUAUCCAACACAAUCAUAACAUAAACAUUCUAACUAGAAUCAAAGACAAUGAAAAUAAACAUUUAAAGUUGAACUAAAAUCAUCAAUCAAGUCUUUCAAAGUCCAAACUAACAACCUCACAACACAAAAAUCACACAAAAAAACGUACAAAUGACUUAGAAAAGUUAAAUUGUAUGAUGUUGUUCAAAGAUCAGUGUUGUUUGCUUGUAACUGCAUGUUGACAACUUGAUUAGUAAAGGUAAUGCGUGGGUGGAUUUAUUUAGUGUGUGUUGGAUUCUUUUCCAUCACAAAUUACCCAAGUAAUCUACCCGAAAUAAAUGUUUAUGGAUUAUGUUACAUGUUAUAUGAGAGUAGAUUUGGAAAAGAAAGCUGGCGCAGAAGUAGACAGUGCUAUGGAGAUGGAUGUAGGUACUUCGGGAAGAGGUUUGGUUCCGAAACCUUAUAUGGGGGAGAAAUAAUAGGUUAGAGUUUAGAGUUUUUAUAGGCCUUUUUUUAAUAUUUUGAGCUUAAAGUUUGGCAACACAUUGGGUUAGCACAUUUUAACUUACAAAUUGGGUUUAUAAAAUAAUACCCAAAACAAAUAAUUAAAUAAAAAAAUUAAUUUAAUUAAUUCGGUUCGGUUCGGUUCGGUUCGGUUUCUAGAUCACUAAAACCGAACCGAACCAAAAGAAUUCGGUUCGGUUCGGUUUUUUCAAUUCGGUUCGGUUUUUUCGGUUUCGGUUCGGUUUGGUUUUCGGUUUUCGGUUUUUUGAACCCACCCCUACUUGAGAUAGUCUUUUGUUUUUCGAUUUUAAUUAACUAAUCAAUUAUGUUAUAAUUUUUUUUUUCUAAUUUAAAGUUAAACUUAAUAAGGAGAGUCCUCCAUCAGUUUGGUUUAACACAUGGCAAGUUUUGAAUAUAGUAGCGCCACUCAACAUAUUCUAAUGACAAAUUGAGCCUCACACAAGUUUUUCUCUCUCCUUAGUGUAGAAUAUCGUUUAAAAAUAAUAAUUAAAAAAAAACAAAUGAGACAUGUAAUUUUAUUUUUUGUCGAAAAGUAGAUAUGUAAUUAGGGAAAACAUUUUGCUCACCACCAUAAACUAUGGUAUAUGCUCACCAUAUACUUAAUAAUUUGGCAUGUGUCAUUUUACUAAACUUUAGUUUUUUUUUUUUCAAAAUUAAAAAAGUAACAUUUAAUGUGAAAGUUGGUUAGAAUUAGAUGAAAUAACACAUAACAAAUGAUUAGAUAUGUGCUGAGCAUACGCUAUAAUUAUAGUGGUGAACAAAAAUGCUCUGACAUCAGACCUUUUUGCUGGUCACAUUAUUCUAUAAAUACAUGGUCGUUCAUGCAAACUGAUGAAAGGUUUAUAAUUUGAACAGUAUCUAUAUUAUUAAGAGAACCUUCUUUGUCAACUUUUUUUCUUAUUUUGCCCUCAUUUUUAUACACACUAUUGACCAAAAGGAGGGUAAAAUAGUAAUUGUGUACCUUUUGACAAAAUAACAAUCAUAUCUCUUAUUUUUCCUAUUUUACCCUCUUUCUUUUUUAAAAAAUGACAAUCAUAUACUUAUUUUUUCAAUUUUACUCUCACUUUUGAUACACAGUAUUUACAUAAGGAUGACAAAACAAUAAUUAUAUAAUAUUUAAAAAAUAUGCACUUAUUAAGAGAAAUUAUUCACAUACACAAAGUAUGUGCUCUCUGCUAAUGCAUACAUAAACCAAGAUGGAGGUUUGGAAAGAGGAACUGGAGCCAGUGAGCCUUAUUAAUGCCCACUAUUUCAACAGCUCUGUUUUAUCGGUAUCAGUUCUUGGUGUUUUGGAAUGUGAAAUUCCAAUUGAUGACUCUCAAACUUUGUCAUUGCUCGAGAAGUGUUCCUGCCCAUCAACCCUCUUCUCCAUAAUGGUCCUCUCUCUCUCAUUCUCUUUGUUUCCUUCCUUUUACUUUUAAACAACUUUUCAAAAGCAAAUUUUGUUUGAAUAGUUUAGUUGAAGGUUGGAGAAUUAUGUUAAUUUUCGCAUAAACUAUCAAAGUGAGUUGAACUUCAAAUUUAUCACUUAAACGUGAACAAUAAAUAUUAGGGGUGGGCACGGGCCGGGCCGGGCUCAAAAUUGAAGGGACCGGACCGGACCCGCUUGAAAAUACAACAGGCCGGGCCGGGGCAGAUUCUACUAUUUUCAAACUGAGAACCGGACCUAACCCGGCCCGUAUAAAACGGACCAGUUCCUACGGGUCCAACGGGUACCCUGUUUUUUUUUUUCCUUCUAAUUUUCAGUUUCUUCUCCAGCUUCUCUUGCUCUUCUUACAUCAAAAAAUAACAAACAAACAAUAACAUCUGAGAAGAUGUAUCAUUCAGAAUAACAUUGCAAAUAUGAUAAAGAAACAGACAAAAUCAAAGCAUGGGUCAUAUUGUAAUCCACUAUAGAAAUGAGGUGUUCUCAGUUCUCUCCCAUUUGAGCAUCUGGCAACAAAAGAAAAACGGAGAAAGCGUCGCCGGAGCAUAGGCUUCACAGAUCCAACUUCCUCGCCAGAGAGAGAAAGCUUAAGUUGAUCACGUUGUGCGCCUUCUCAGUUCUCUCCACCACUCCCCACUGCAGCUGGACGACUCAAACGUGGAGAUCCGGUCGAACCCCAAGCUAUCCUUCGAGCACUCGUACCCACCAACCAAGACCAUCUUCAUCCUGGACAAGCAGUGCCAGAAGCCAGACAUGCGAUUGAAAAUUUCACAACUUUUCACAAAUUUUGUAAAUCAAAAUUAAGAAAUUGACGAAAUUGGAAGAAAUUAGGGAAAUGAGUUACCUCGGUGUUGAGAUAGGAGGAGAAGACGGAAGAGUUGGUGGGGGAGGAGGGCGGCGGCAGCAUAUCAUUUCUCGGUGGGGUGUGGGUGUGGUGUGUUUGUGCUCCGGGAAGAAGAGUUGCAGAGAUGGGGGGAGAAAAAACAAAGCAGAAGAAUGAGGAAGGUUCGAGCGAUUUUGUUACGGAGACUGAGAAAUGGGGUGUGUGUGUGUGUGUUGGAGAUUGAGAAAUGUCACGGCCCACGGGGAGGAACAAAAGAAGUGGGCUUGGGAGGCUGGGAGACAAUAACAGUACCCAACAAAGGGGUCUUUUUGCAAACGGGCCGGUCUGGGUACCCAUUUUUCUACACUUUUGGAACCGGCCCGAACCUAAAAUUUCAAAGGCCCGCCCCGCCCCGUUUCUCUUUUUUAAAAUUAGGACCCGCCCCGAACCGCUAAUACCCGCCCCUACCCACGAGCCCAGGGCCCGUUUGCCCACCCCUAAUAAAUAUCAUUAGAUUUAUGGUGAAAUUCCUCUUCAUUAAGUAAACGAUUUUAGGUCCAAAUACAGUUUCUUUUUUGGGGUUUUGUCACAAAUAAUUCCUGAAAUUGACUCAUCCCAUCAAGAUGAUUCUUGAAAUUGAAAAUCGAUCAAUGUAGUAAUUAAAAGUGGGAUGUCGCAAAUCAAUGUGGUCUUUCCAUUACAAUUCCGUUAAGAAUUAUGUUAUAUGCUAAUGUGAUAUAUAAAUGAGUCCCACAAAUCUAUUAAAUAUUACCAUGUGAAUCAAAAAAUAUUUAAAUAAAAACAAUUUUUAUUUUUACAAAAAAAAAAAAAAAAAAAAAAAAAAAAAAGACCGUUCAUCAUCUUCUUUCCUCUACCACCGAGCAACCACCAUAGCCCCACACCACCCUGUCGACUGCACCUCCGACACCAGAGAGGUUUCAGUUCGGAUUAUCGGCGCCGGAUAUCACGAGAACCGCAAGAACGGGGUGCAACCGCUUGGACUGUCUGGAGCCGACGGCGCCGAUACGAUCACGGAACGAGAGAUGUAGGUUGUGGAGGACAUGUUGUUAAGCUUGGAGUCGAUCAGACGGGGUGAGAGUGGAGGUGGUGGUGGUUUCAUUGAUGGAGGGAAGAGGUUGGGAGCUGAGGAAGAGGAAGAGGAAGGCGUUGGUGGUGAGAGAGUGGUGGGUUAGGUGGUCAAUGCUGGGUGGGUGUGGGGAUAUAUGCAUAUGGCAAUUGCAUUGUGUGUUUUUACAGGGUUUGGGUUGAUGGCUGUGUCACUGUAGGAGUCGGGGUGUGUGUUCGGUUUAUGGGAAGGGGAAGAAGAUGAUGAACAAUCAUCUUCUUCUUUUUAUUUUAUUUUAUUUUUAAGUUUUUAAUUAUAUAAUAAAAACUUAUUUAAAUAUUUUCUAAUUCACAUGGUAAUAUUUAAUUAGAUUUAUAGGAUUCAGUUAUGUACCACAUCAACAUAUAACAUAUUUUUUGACACAAUUAUGACAAAAUGAUCAUAUUGAUUUGUGAUACUCAUUUUCAUGGACUACAUUAAUCAAUUUUCAAUUCCAAUAAUGAUCUUGAUGGGACAAGUCAGUUUCAUGGACUACAUUUUUUACUUGUUUCAAUAUUUUCCAGAUGUGAGCAUAAUUAGUUAUAGGGCAAACUACAUUUCAAAUUCUUCUGGUUUGGAGUGACUUAUGAACAAGGUCGUGAAGUGUGUUUUUUUUCUUGGGCACCAAAAUGAAUUUUUUUUAUAUAACGAAUUCAUACUAAACAAUAUCAUUAAAUUGUAUUAUUAAGUAAUUGUCCCAUAAUUGAUUAAAAUUGUAUCACUUGAUGCUUUUGGACAGUUUGAUUGUUUGAUCUUGUUUGACAUUUAGAUAGAUGAAACAUUGAUCCACUCCUAACCACACUGAUACUGUCGUAACUUUAUCACCUAUUGGUUGAUGUAAAAUUGACGUAAACCUGUAUUAGUUAUGCAGCUCCCCUUUUUGCUGAACAACGCUAUACAGCUCCCCUUGAAGUUUGAAUGCUAGUUUCAACGGUAUUAAUUAACACCGAUAAGGAAACUAAUUAUAUAUGGGACCAGUUAUAAAGAAUAAAUUUUACAGUUCAACGGUAUUAACAUUGACAAUAUAAAACGCAUCGUUUUCUGGGGCAAGGUCUGCUGCCUUCUGAUUACAUUUAUGACGCGUUUACUAAUCCGUAAUCAAAUUGAGAGGAAUUAAAAUGAGGAGGAAUUGGAUUGUAGAGGAAUUGAAAUGAGGUGGAAUCAGAAUCAGAUUCCUGUUAAAAUUGUUUACUAAAACUGUCUGGAAUCGGAGUAGGAAUGAUGUUGAAUCCAUAUAAGUUGUUUACUAAUUCAUUUCAAUCGGAAUGAAAACUAGGUUGAUUACUAAAUUGCCCUUACAUAAAUAAAUUAUUUUCAUACUAAUUAAUUAAAUUAAAUUCUUAAUUAAAUUUAUAUAAUAAAAUUCAUCUAUAUAAAAAUAUAUAAAUAGGUUUUAUUUAUUUAUUAAAAGAUGGUAGAAAUGAUGUUGAGUCAAUAUAAAUUAUUUAAUAAUUCACUUUAAUCGAAAUGAAAACUAGGUUGAUUACUAAAUUGCCCUUACAUAAAUAAAUUAUUUUCAUACUAAUAAAUUAAAUUAAAUUCUUAAUUAAAUUCAUCUAUAUAAAAAUAUAUAAAUAGGUUUUAUUUAUUUAUUAAAAGAUGGUAGAAAUGAUGUUGAGUCAAUAUAAAUUGUUUAAUAAUUCACUUUAAUCGAAAUGAAAACUAGGUUGAUUACUAAAUUGCCCUUACAUAAAUAAAUUAUUUUCAUACUAAUAAAUUAAAUUAAAUUCUUAAUUAAAUUCAUCUAUAUAUAAAAAAAAAAAUAUAUAUAUAUAUAUAUAGGUUUUAUUUAUUUAUUAAAAGAUGGCAUAAUGAGUGUCAGAUGAAGGGCAAUUUUAGGAUAAUAAGAAACAAGUGAGGGCAUAAUUGGUAGAAGAAAUCCAUUCCGGAUUCCUCAAGUUUCAAGGAAUUGAAAUACCUCCCUUAUGUAGGGAGUCCAAUUCCUCCAAAAUUAGGAGUUGGAUUCCUUAAUUCGUAUGGACCCCCCACAUGUAUUUUGAUUCCCCAAGAUUACGUAAACAAAGGUGUAUCCCGUAAUGGGAAUCCAAUUCCGUAAAUUGAUUCCGAUUACGGGUAUGUAAACGUGCCAUUAGUUUUGUGUUUCUAUACGAAUUAACAUUGACAACACAAAACGCGUCGUUUUAUGGGGCCAAGGUCUACUAUCUUCUGAUUGCAUUUAUUUUUGUCUCUUUAGGAAUUUUUUGACAUUUGACCCUCCACUUGUUCUAAAAUUAACACCGUUAACUAUUAAAUAUUUACUAAUUAUAAAAAUUAAAGAAAAAUAAAACCAACACAAUUAAAUAAACACCGGACAACAACCUACUCCAACUACUCCUAGUCACCGCCGAAGCUCAUCUUCACUGCCGGUAAAGUUCCUUUUCUUUCUCUAUCUCUCUCAAGAUCUUUCUCUCUUGAAUUCUCGCACUAGAUCGUGAUCAAUUCAUCCAUCCAGUCAAACAACAAAUGUUUUGUGGAGUUGGAAAUUUGAGAAUAGAAGAUAUAGUGAAGAAUUCGAUAGAGAAGGAGAGAGAUAGAGAAGGAACUUUGCGGUCAGUGAGGAUGAGCUUCGGCGGUGACUGGGGUGGUUGGAAUCUUUCCUAAGCGGCAACAAGGAACGUAAAUACGCACAUAUCUUGUUGUUUCAUUUUGUGAAAUAGUAUCAGUGAAAUGUUUUGCCGAAACACCAAAUAAAAGGAACAAAAUAACUAUGAUUGCAGAGCUGCUGCUAGAAAGAGGACUUGCAGAUGACAUUGAGAAUGGUGCAAAUACGACUUCACCGACGAGCUAUGUUUUCAUCUAAUUAAAAGUAAAUAUGGGCAGUGAUUUGUUCAUAUUCAGACCUUGAUUUUCAUCUUAUUAUUCCUUCGUGUCUAUUCUCGAUAGUUUUUUGUUGCUGUGAUUCAGCCUUACACAUUUGUGGCUUCUGAGUUUUUUAAUCCGAGUCUGCGAUUCGGCUUUCUUUGCUCCUUGUUGUUGGGAAGGUGCCACUUGAUACUACAUUAUUGUGGUAUUUAGUAGGUGAGAAUUCACAUUAUAAUAUCGUAUGUUCAUAAAAUAAAAUUAAAAAAAAAGUUUUUUUAGUUAAAAUGGUCUCUGAGAUUUUCAUAACACAUAACUUUGGUCAUUGAUAUUUAAAAUCAAUAGAAGUGGGCCAUGAGAUUAUCCGUCAUCCAUUAUUUUGGUCAUUUCAUUAAAAAACUCCGUUAAGUGGUCCCUGAGCUUUUUAAUGGAAGGACCAAAAUGAUUGAUAGUGGACAAUCUCAGGGACCAAAGUUAUGUGUUAUACAAAUCUCAAAAACCAAAACUAUGUGUUAUGCAAAUCUCAGUAACCAAAGUUAUGUGUUAUACCCUCAAAAUAUAGUGUAAUUUGACAUGUGUCAUUUUACUUAACUUUGAUUCUAAUUUUUUUUUUAAAUUGAAAAAGUAACAUUUAAUGGGACAAUUAACUAGAAUUAGGUGAAAUAACACAUAACAAUGAUUAGGUAUGUGAUGAGCAUACACAAUAAUUAGAGUGGUGAACAAAAUUAUAUGAGACCUGUUAUUAAGAAGAUAAUUGUCUCUUCAACGGUAGGAACAGUGAUAACAUAAAAGCAUCCGUUUGAUAUUCUAUAAAUACAUAGCCGAUCAUGCAAAUUGAUGAAAGUUAUAUCAAGAUGGAAAUUUGGGAAGAGGGACUGGAGCCAGUGAGCCCUACUGGCCAUUAUUUCAACAACUCUGUUUUAUCAAUAUCAAUUCUUGCUGUUUUGGAAUAUGAAAUUCCAAUUGAUGACUCUCAAUUUCUGUCAUUGCUCGAGAACGUGUUCCUGCCUAUCAACCCACGCUUCUCCUCUAUCAUGGUACUCUCUCUCUCUCUCUCUCUCUCUCUCUCUCUCUCUCUCUUUCUCUUUGUUUCCUUCCUUUUACUUAUUAAACAACUUUUCAAACGCAAAUUUUGUUUGAAAAGUUUACCUUUAAGUUGGAUAUUUUUGUUAAUUCUCGCAAUAAACUAUCAAAGUGAGUCGAACUUAAAUUUAUCAUUUAUAAGUAAAGAGUCCAACUACAAUUUCUUUUUUCUUUUCUUUUUUAUUGGUUUCAAUAUUUUCCACAGGUGAGCAUAGUUACUUUAUAGGGAAAACUACAUUUCAAACUCUUCAUGUUUGGAGUGAAUUUUAAACAAGGUCAUGAAGGGAUUUUUUUAGGGAAGUAUUAUUGGCACUCCAAAAAUCUCGUUCUACACUCCUCACAAAUGUAUUUUUCUUUUAUAAUAUAGAAAGUUCGGAGUGUAGAAUGAGAUUUUUGAAGUAUUAAUAACAAUUCCCUUUAUUUUAUUUUAUUUUUAAAUACAAUAAUUCAUACUAAACAAAACAAUUUGAUCGUGGUAUUAAGUGGUUGCCUUAUAAUAUAUUAAAAUUGGAUCACUUGAUGCCUUUAGUCGGUUUGAUUGUUUGAUUUUGUUCGAUAUUAAGAGAGAUGAGCCAUUCAUUCACUCAUAACCACAUUGAUUUUGUCUCAACUUAACCACCUAUUGGUAGAUGUUGAGUUUUAUUACAAAAUGUCUCAGGUAAUCUUAGGAGUGAAACCAUACACUUAUAUGUUGUAUUUUAUUUUCUCCCAUUGAAUGAUAUCCGUAAGCUUGAUAAAGUUUUAGAUCUAAAGCAUUGUACUAGAUCAUUAUGGUAAUAUUGCAUCAUUAUAGGACGUGGGCUAAAUGUUUUUGAGCACGUUUGAAGUUUCUUUUGGAGUACUCUUUACAUGAUGUACUCUUUUUCAUGAGCAGUAAUUAUUUAAUUUGGAAACAGAUUGAAAAAAAUGGAAAGAAACAAUGGAAAAGGGUUGAAGUGAAGCUUGAAGACCAUGUUAAAACUCCAAUCUUCCCUUCCAACUUGUCGAAUGAAUCAUAUGACGAGUAUUUUUUGACGACUACUUGUCAAACGUAGCAACAAAAAGAUUUCCACAAGACAAACCACUAUGGGAAAUUCAUGUUAUAAAGUACCCAAAUAGCAAUGCAGCUAGUAAUGUAGUAUUUAAGUUGCACCAUGCGUUAGGUGAUGGCUACUCACUCAUGGGCGCUGUCUACAAAGGGCUGACAAUCCUUCUCUUCCCCUAACUUUUCCUUCACGGAAGCCAUCGAAACCGAAGAAUGAAAAUGUUAUGACCAAAACUUUCUCAUCCUUGUUGAACACCAUAUCCGAUAUUUGGUGGGGCAUUUCAAAGAGCAUCACUGGGGAAGAUGAUCUAUCACCAAUAAAAUCCUCGAACAAUGAACUUGAGUUCACGCCAAUUACAGUAUCAACUGUGACGAUCUCUCUUGAUCACAUCAGAUUAAUUAAGAACAGGCUUGAAGUGGUAAGUCUCAGGUUUUCUCUGUAAUAUUUUGGUUUAUGCAUGUGGGUAUGUUUUUUUCCUUUCUAAAACACGGGAAUAAGCUUUCAUGUUGAUCUUCCAUCUCUUGUUGAUAAAAAGAAAAAAAAUCCUUGUUAAUUUUAACAUUAUAGUCAUGAUUGAUAAUUAAUAUUUAUAUUUUAUUUUAUUAUGAAAAUUAGACAUUGGUCUUGCAGCACUUUUUUAUUCUAGUCUAAUGAUACUUUUCUUCCAAAUGUUUAAAUUUCGAAUGCGAUUGAUCCCCCCAAAAAAAAAAGAAAAAAAAAACUAACAGGAAGUUUAAAAAAACUUUAGUUUUAAUAAAAGGAAAACUAAUGAAAAAUGUUUGAAAACUUUGAGUUUUAACUAUAAAAAUAAAAUAAAGGGUGAAUAGUAUCAAGAUUGAUUUUUUAGUGUAAAAAUGUGGUUUUUAGUUAAAGUAAACAGUACCGAAAGUUUUUUGUUAAAGUUUCCUUUAAUAAAAAAUGACAAAUAAAGGUAUAGUAAAUAAUAUCAGGAAAAAGUAAAAAUAUAAUUUUUUAUUAAAAAUAAACAGUACCGUAAAUGUUUUGUUAAAAUUUCAAAAAAAUAAAAAAUAAAAAAAUAUUUUCACUUCUUUUUUAAGCCACAUAUUGCCUGAAUAUAAAUUUACGGAUUCGGGCAGGACAUAAACUGAAUAUAUAUUAUUAUAUACUAGCUAGGCUAACUGUCUGCUUGCAGGUCAAUGUCAAUGCCUGUAAACCUAAAAAGAUCUGAAUGCCGUAAUAAAAACCUACCCCGUACAUAUGGUGGGCACGAUUAUAAUUAGCAAUAAAAAAUUUAAAGUAUAUUUACUUAUGGAAGUCAAAAUCUGCCUAAUUUUUUUUUUGGCAAAGUCAAUCUGGCUAGUUCGUCCUAAAUUCCAAACUAUGUAACAUUAAUCUGACCUAUUGAAGCUAAUGAAGAAGCCAUGAAACCAUGAUCUUCAAAAUUAACCUUUUCCUCGAUCUGUAUCAGAUUCUCAAUGCUCAAAUUUGUUUAACUAUCCUAUAAAAUAACACAUAAUUUAUCAAAAAUUUCACCAGAGUGGUCUUGAUAUAGUUGAAGCCCAACGUGAAACAGUUAAAAUGGGAACUUUCAGUCCUUCGACUCCCCAUACAUUACACAUUUAUAUAGAUCUUUUAAUGGCUAGUAACAAAAAUCUCUUACAUCUCAUGGUUUAAAAAAUGGAGAAUAUCAAAAAAUAGAAUAUAAAAUACACACACAACAUGCAAAUCAUCAAACACCAUACUUUCAAAGUUAUAAUAAAUUGUAGCAUAAUUAACUUAUUUACUAUCACAGACGAUAAAUGACGUCCUUACCGGGAUGGUCUUUCUUGGCUCUCGACUAUAUAUGCAAGAGAUGAACCAAAGCUCAAGGGAAGCCCAUAGCACUGCAUUGGUUUACUAAAUACGAGGAUCAUGGGGAAUUAUACUUCGAUUGAAGAAAUGGUCAAACCCGACAGCAAGAGCCCAUGGGGAAAUCAUUUUGCAUUCUUGCAGGUUCCCAUUCCCAAGUUGACUGAAUUCUCAAAUGCGCUUAACUUCGUCUGGGAGGCUCAAAAAUUUAUCAAGAUGAAAAGAAAUUCUUUAGCUAUUUAUUUCACUAGUGGGGUAUUGAAGAUGUUGAACAUGUUUGAAGGCCAUGAGGUAAGUAAAUUUAAGAAUUAGUUUGGUAGACAUGAUUGAAUUGAAAUAGAUAAUUUUUACGUAUUAAGGUAUAUUGAAGACGGAAAUGAAUGAUUUUCAUUUGGAAGGGAUCAUAACAGGAUUAGUUAUGAAGAAAAUUUAUUCUUUCUAAUCGUACUAUUUUAUGAAGGACUAUAAUGAACAAGUUUUCUUUAGUUUAGUAUCUAAUCCAUCCAAUUAUGUACACCAAAGGAGCCCUAAGAAAAUGCAUGCGAUAUUACAUAUGUACAACAUUUAUUUAAAACUUAGAAUGCUACUUGUGGUGCAGGCAGCAUCAAGAUACAUCCGUAGAACAUUAAAGAACUCGAGCAUGGCAUUCACAAAUAUGAUUGGGCCCGUGGAACAAAUGUCUUUGGCAAACCAACCAAUAAAAGGAUUAUACUUUAUGUUAGUCGGAUCACCUCAGGUAAGCAACAGGGUCUCAAAAGUUUUGGAAACAAUAUGCAUCGUUUUGUUUUCAAAAUUAGGUGCAUAUAAAAUUAAAAGUUAUAUAAACAUACUUUCACACACACACACACACACACACACACACAUAUAUAUAAGGUGUGUAUUCUCAAUGAUAGCAUAGACAUGUUAUAUAUAUAGGUAACACAAUUUACGUGUACCUGCAGGAUCUUGACAUAUCAGUCCUAAGUUAUAUGGGAAAGGUGAGGCUUACCUUAACAAUGAAAAAAGGCACCAUAGAUCCACAAAAACUGAAGUUGUGCAUGGAAAACGCCCAUGAUAUGAUAUUCAAUGCCUCGGACAAAUAUCCUGUGGAAAAUAGCACUGAAAAAUAGUCACUCAUUUGAAAUUCUACUAUUACACAGAACAAAUUAUAGCGUUAUUAUGCGCAUUUCUGUCGAAAUUUAUAAUUUGAGUAAGAAGUUAUUGAAAACUUACAAAAUAAUACUACAUUUGUAAUAGUUGAUUAAUAACUAUGAUUUUGUUAUUACUUGUGUGUAUUUGAACUUUUUAUUUUGUGAGUAUUCUUAUUAACACGUCAUCUUCAUAUGAGUUGAACCAUCAUUAACUUCAAUUAUUCUUUUAAACUUUUAAUUGUGUAAAUGAUAAAAGAUAUUACGCUUUGAUGUCUAGAUACGUUUAAGAUCCAUAAGUCGCAUUCGGUAGAACCGACUAGAACUCAUAGGUAAAUUAGAUCUGAUAUACAAUACAAUAAAACUUAACAAUAACCUCCAAUAGAAUAAAAAAUAACAAUAACCUCUAGUUCACAGGAAAAAUAGUUAUUCAAAUGAACUCAUCAUUACCAGAAGGUUACAAACUCCAGUCUCUACGUGUCCUCCAUCCUCCUUUUUUCAUUCUCUUCCAUCAUUUUAUUCAUCUGGCUCCAUCAUCUCUUUGACCAUACCAAAUUCCAUUCAACUACUGUUGAUGUUCACCGUAAUUUGUCACGAAUCUAUGGGAGGGUGUGUAGAGCUUUUGGCUCGGGUGUUCGCACCAUCACUUUUGUGAACCCUUGUUGGUCCUCCCCGAUGUUCGCCCUUGUUGGCGAUGUUUCUUGCGGGAUCUGUCAUCUUGCUUGCUUCCUUGGUUCUUGGUUCAGUUUGUGGCGGCAGAUGUUUUGGUGGCUCUACGAGGUUGAUCUAACUUUUUUUUUCUUCAUGUUGGGGUUUUUGUUGUCGAGAUCUCUAGUGCUAGCCAAUCGGUGAUAAGGUUGCUAGGGUUUUGUUUCUAUGUGUUUGUUGUGGACUCAACCUUUAGGCUGGGUUUUGCUCCUGUUUGUUUGUUCUGGGCUCAACUUUUGUGUUGGGUUUUUUGUUUUGGGGGUCCAUCUAUUAGUGUUUAACUUUAUUUGUAAUUGGGCCGUUGUAUAUGUAUGCUUUUUUUUUUUUUUUUUUUGAAAAGAUACAAUAGUAGAUUUCAUUUCAUCAAAAGAGUUUUACAUCAUACAAUUUUGAAUCAAGGUCGUACAUAGUCUUCUACAAGUAAGUCCAUAAUAACACUUAGAGGAGUUCAUUCCAUUCACAUUGUUGGGUCAAUGAGAGCCCAAUCCGUGCGAGUCGAUGAGCAACAGAGUUUGUAUUGCGGCAAGUAUGGGCAAUAGUAGCUUAAGUGAUUGGAUGGAGUAGUGCUUUGACGUCCUCCACCACUUGUCCAAUUGUGGACAAGUUUAGAGUUGGAUUCUUCAAAGCCUCCACAAUCUGAAGUAAAUCUAUCUCAAAAGAUAAGUUUGAAAUUUCCCCAUUUACUGCCCAAUACACAGUCUCCCGAAAAGCCACCAGUUCCGCCUGCAGAGGAGAUAAGACAUCCUCAGUACUGCCACAAAAUGCAUUCACAAAACCUCUAAUAUCACUCGAAUAAUUGCCCCGAAUCCCGCCAUCUUACUGACUUCAUUCCAUGCCCCAUCAAUAUUCAUUUUGAGUCGUCCAGGAGGAGGAGGAAUCCAUUUGGAUCUAUUUAGUGCCCUUGCAGUCAAGCCAUGAAUAGUUUUAGCCUUAACAAAGGCCAUCCACCAUUGCCGAGCUCUUUCAACACACACAUCUGGGGUACUACUUCCCUAUUCCACAACUUCCCAUUUCUAGCCCCCCAUAAUGCCCAACAAGUCAUGAGGAAUAAGUUAAAGCUGGACUUGGGAAGAAGUCCUGCAGUUUCGGUAAUCCAAUCAAGGAAAGAUGGGUGUUGGACAUUCCUCAUAAUUACUCCCAAAUCAGACAUCAUCGAUGCACACUUUAUAUAUGGGCAAUUCUUCAUCAAAUGAAUAGUGAUCUCACCAUAAGAAUUGCAAAGAGUGCAUUCCAACUCAGUGAUGAUAUGGCGUUUAUUCAGGUUUGCACGAGUGGGGCACCACUCAUUUCCAAGUCUCCGUACACAAAUUUUGACCUUAGGUGGAACGUUUACAUUCCAUAGCUUAGACCACAGUGUGCUAGCGGGCAAAGGUUAGGCUGAGGACGGUGCACCGUUAUUUGUAGGUUGGAGCCAAGACCUCACAAUGUGAUAUGCACUCCUAACUAUAAAUUUUUCACCUUUGUCGUAGUGCCAUACUAGGGAAUCCGGUGGGGAUCGUCAACUUAAUGGGAUUGAGCGAAUAGUAUCUACUUCCUUCGCUGAGAAGAGAUGCUUAAGCAACCCAAUGUUCCAUCGUUUUGUAGAUUGGUCAAUAAGCUCGUCGAUUGUUUUCAGGGAGCAGCCCUCUGGUUCGCUUGAGAAAGGCCGAAAGGAUGACGGGGUGGGUAGCCAUGGGUCCUCCCAUAUGCGGACGGUAGAGCCACUCCCCACUUGCUAGCGUAACCCGAGAGUGAUAAUCUUUUGCGCUGCACAUAUACUCUUCCAAUAGUAAGAAGCAUUGUGCAUUACCGUUGCCUUCAUGAAUGAUCCUUGUGGAAAGUAUUUUGCUUUUAGUAUCUAUGCUACUAACGAGUAGGGUUCUUUAAUGAUCCUUCAUCCCUGAUUGGCUAACAUCCCCAAAUUGAAGGCAAAAAAGUUUUGAAACCCAAAGCCCCCCUCACUUUUGGGGAUGCAAAGACGUUACCAAGAGCACCAAUGCAUUUUCCUUUCACCUUCAUCACCAUCCAAGCAAAAAGAUGUGAUCAGUUUGUUCAAAUCCUCGCAAAAAUGUUUUGGUAGGAGAAAAAAACUCAUCAUAUAGGUUGGGAUUGCUUGUGUGACUGCCUUGACUAGCACUUCUUUCCAUGUCGCACUAAGUAGCUUACCCUUCCACCUCUGCAGCCUUUUCCACAAUCGGUCUUUUAUGUAACUAAAGCACAUUGACUUGUUUCUACCAACAAUGUCACGCCCCGAUCCAGACCUACGUCCAGGAUCGACACGUGACGUCACCAAGUAACCAUAUACUCAACGAAUCCCGCCUCCAGGAUAUGAACGAAGCAUAACUCAAGAAUCGAAUCGCAUAAUAAUUUUUCGUAUACUUUAUGGUUGCAUCUAACCUUCUCAUUAGACUGCCUACGUACCAUACACAGGGAUCAAAACAUUCGUAGUUCAUCAUGGACUAUAAUUGACAUAUAUCACAGUCCGUUUAAGCCGAAAGGCAUAACAUUUCUCAAUCAAUCAAUAGAACUUGCCAAGCAUGAAAUUACUAGACUCAGGGUUACAUAACAAACACACCUGAAAAUCAUGAUUUCCCUUCCAUCUUCUAUAUAAGUUAUUAUGUCGCAACAUGAUACCGCAAUUCACAACAUAUAUCAUAUCAAAGAACCAACAGAGUUCAAUACAAUUCUCUAGCCACAUUAAUUAACUAAUUUGACCAAAAUAAUAACAACCAUAACCAUAUCUUCUAAAUUCAUACUUUAUGAAAUCAUAAUCGAAUCAUAGAAAAUCCUGAAUGAGUCAUCCAAACGUCCAACAGCUUUUCUAAUUCAAUUCACAAGAUUAUCAAAACCAUUGCUCACAAAUAUACUAAAACAAAACUAAGGCUAGAGUGACACAGUUAAGUCAAGCCUACAUCUCUGAAGUUGAUAUCAAAUCUAAGAAACCAACAAGUCAAGUGAUGCGACUUUGGACCACUCAACGGAAUCCAAACCAGGAUAAGAUUCCAGACCAUCACUCAACGAAAUCCAAACAAGGAUAAGAUUCUGAACCAUCACUCAACGGAAUCCAAACAAAGAUACGAUUCCGGACUAUCACUUAACGGAAUCACGGAGUAGAAGGGAUUUCGGACCAUCACUCAACGGAAUCCAAACAAUGAUACGAUUCCGGACCAUCACUCAACGGAAUCACUUGCACUAUCAACUUUCUCAUGACCAUUAGCAUACAUAUCAUGCAAGCAUAUAAAUUCUAUGGAAUACUUCUAAUAGGAUUUUAGGAUCACAUGGUCAUAACCUUUAUCAUUCAUAUUAUCAAGAAAAUAACUAAACACACACACACACACACACACACACACACACACACACACACACAUAUAUAUAUAUAUAUAUAUAUCACAAUAUGACUUCGCAUACACGUAAACCGACGUAUAUAUUAUCCGGAUAACUCACUAACCAAUAUAGGCCUACUAAGCCCUACAUAGUCUCUAGUAAUACUGAAUUUAAUAUUUAAAAUCAAUUCGUAGCAUAUUGACCAAAAGUAAGCAAUAAUUAGAUUAAUACAUAUAAGGUUUCCCAGAACCCCCUACCUUGAAUUCGAUUAAUUUGUUUCUUUGAAGAACCUAAUCGGAACAUAAAAUUACAAUCAAAAGUAUAAAUACCAGUAACACACCUUAAUAACCAAACUAAGUGUUUAAACACAAAAUUAAUAUCAUCUAAAGAAAGUACACUGAUUCUGGAAUCUACCACUCAAAUAAAUCACUCAAAUAGUAGUAAAGAAGAUUAGAAAGGAAUCUGAAAAAGAAGAUUGGUAUGGCAAAAACAGUACUCUGCUUCUCCACAAAAUCUGCAGAAAACAGCAUCAUUGGACCAAGUUUAAACUCCCUUUGGAACAUUCAAAACUAAACCAAAUCAUGUAAUAUUAUAUGGGUUUUGAAGCUUGUGAUUUGUACUUUAAAAGCAUAUAAACUUUGUAGAAAACGGAACUCUGAAUUGGAAGUUAUGCCAACAGAAAAAUAGAGUCCUGAAACUAGAAACCCAGUUUUCUGCUGCUGUUUGGCAGCUUGUGACCUAAGUUUAAAUAAGGUUUUGAUCAACCAAAACUCAACGGAACUGAGUGAAAACAAUAGGGUUACGAUCAUGAACAUAUGCACUUUCGAUACACUAAAUUGUUUUCUUCAAAUGAGCACAUAAAGACCUAAAAAUUAAGAGUCAAAGAAGGCUGCUCGAAACUUGAGUUUUCUUUGUCAAGAAAUCAAUUUUCUGCAACUUACGUAACAGCCCAUCUCCAAUUCAUAUAACAAAUCCCAAAAUUAUUCCAGGUAGUCCAUAAGUCAUGUAUAUAACAUCCAAAACUAACAUGGCUCAAAAUUAACAAGAAAUUGACCUUCUGAACCAAACCCUUAAUCAAGAAAUUUGAUCUACACACCCAAUCCGAAUUACCCAACUCUAAUUCAUAUGGUUCAUUGAAUGGUAGAAAACCCUAAACAAAACCAAGAACUCCAAAUAUAUCGUGGCAGUUUCAAAUCAAAUAUAUAUGUAGCAAGCGUCGACAACACUGACUAAAACCAGAAAAGAAAUUGAAGUAAAAGAACCUCAUACUCAUUCAUUGAAUCUGAUCAACAACACCACACACAAACAAAGAACAAUAGAUAUUGUAGGACAUGUGGAAUUAACCCAUGGAUUUCAAAAUUAUAAAAAUUAAUCAACAAAACCAGAAAAUAUCAAACACAUUUUAAAGCCUUCCGUCUGUUAUACUACUCAUCAUUUAUAUGUAUAAUCUCUUGGUAGUCUUGCUAAUCUGAAGGGCAUCAUAAUGACUGGACCAACAUGAAGUCCAUUGAAUCUUGCUGCAAUUGUGUCCUCCUCUCCUUCUUUGUUUAUUUCUUCAGUCACCAAAUGCUUAGCAAACAGAAUUUUACGAAUUCCUUCUUCGUCUCCUUCCUCCUUCGUUUUGGAGCUGCAAAAAAGAGAAAACAGAGGGAAAGAAGAAGAUUCCACCAACCCUUCCCCUCUCUCUGUCGCUCUCCUUCUCUCACUUUUCUGAUUUCCCCCUUGCCUUUCACUCUCCUCUUUUUUUCGUUGGGCCUCCCCCCACAAAGUGGGAGUUAUAUGAAAUUUAUAAUCUAAAGCUUAGGAAAACGACUUCAAAUGUCCAUAACUAUAUUGUCAUAAUCCGGACUCGCAAACGGCUUUUGUCUAUGUGCUCGUGGUUUGGAGAUCUAUUCGAAAACGUUACUUGUGACAGGUCAACAAAUUUUAAAGAUUCAAUAUGAAAUUUUAACCGAUAACUAUUCAAUUUAAUUUCUAAAUUAACGGAAUUAGAAUUAACUAAUGAAAAUAGCAAAAACGUGUAAUACGAAUUUAAAUAACGAGAUACGUAAUUAAUAGUGAAAUUCUAGGAACGGAAUUUCACAAACAAAGGUAGGCAUGCCCAGAUACUUGUCAUGCUUAUCUACUCGUUGUACCCCUAACAUCGUUGCAAGUUUCAGCUACAAUGGUCUUUUAACAUUUCUACUAAAGCAAACCUCGCUUAAUAAAAGGUUAAUUCUCUGCCCAGAUGCACUAUAAUAAAUUUGGAGGGCCUCCAUAAUCUGUCUACACUCAGCAACAUAGGCUCAGCAAUAUAACAAGUUGUCAUCGGCAAACAUUAAAUGAUUCACCGACGGCGCUUCCGGGCAUAUAAAAAUACCUGGAAUCAGUCCCCUGCACUCCCGUUGUGCAAGCAAAACUGAUAAUCCAUCAGCGCAUAUUAUGAACAGAUAUGGGGAUUGAGGGUCUCCCUGGCGCAAUCCUCGUCAAGGAAGAAUAUACCCCCGAGGAUACCCAUUGAGUAUAACAGAGUAAGAUAUUGUAGACACACAGAGCAUAACAAUGUUAAUUUACCCUUGAUAAAAAAAAUUUAAAAAAAAAAAUAAAUAAAUAAAAACCUACACCAUAAAAUAGUGUAUUGUGUUGGUAAAAAAAUCUGAUAAGUAGUGAAGUCCGUAAGGGUGACAACAAUACAAUAUAUGAUAUCAUAUAGUAAAUUAAUCUCAAUUUUUUAAACACACAUCAUCAUUUCAUAAAAAUUAUAUAUAUAAAACUAGCUGCACUAAUACACGACACGCACACGCACUCUCACAAAAACAGAUUGACCCCGCAGGUUUACAAUCGUUUCGUUUGUAUCCAUAUUGGAAUUAAUAAGACUCGAGCAAUCCGUAGUUCGACCCAAGACUUACAACACAUGAGUUUCUGAACCCACGUGGUUAGUUCCGAAUCUCCCUACUAACUAGAGACGUCAAGUGUACCAUUAUACGAUCACGUCGUCAAUGUAUAAUGGGAAAUGCCUCACGCUACCCAACUCCGGUUUUUGUUCCACUCGAUCAACAGACGUAGAGUUGUGCAUAAAUUGUGUAAAAUGCCUCUAUGAUUUGAGUCCUCAUCAAUUGGAUUUACCCUCAUCAAGUUCUAGUCCAAUGAUCCGUCAAUUGACCUACAAGUUCAUGUCAAGAUAAGAUGAGUUCUACGGAGGUGUGAAUUCAAUCAUAGUGGCAAUCAAGAUUUAGGGUUGGACUAAUUUAGAGUUUUUGUUAUGGUGUUGGCUUUUUGUUAUGCUUAAAUUUAGCAAUUUAGGCUAUUUUUAUGCGAUUGUUCUCCACGUUAGCUUUUACCUUUGGGCAUUUUUAUUUUUAUUGUUAAUAUCUUGAUAUCUUGUCGACAGCUUUGAUGUACAAUUAAAAUUUAUCAAAAUAAACUCAUUAAAUUAGGGAUGUUAACUUACCAUAAGUAGGAAUAGGAAUAUGAGAGAAUAGUGAUAUGAAUGAUUGAGUACGGGAUAAAGAACACCCUCUGAUAAUCCCAUACCUUGAAUUUUCAAUUACCAGAAGGUGUGGGAUGGAAAAGAAUAGGAAUGCUACCGAUUCCUUACAAAUCAUUCUAAACAUGCUGUUACAAAAGAAUAGCACCUAUGUCACCGAUCACCAAAAUUUACUAAUACAUAACUCAUAAUCUUGAAAAGUUAUUCACAUAGUUGCAUAAUUAGUAAAUGAACAAAAGAUAGGUUAGUUUCUAACUCUUUAUGUGAUAAGCCUAACAAAACUAUUAUGGAGAUGCUGAAAAUAGCUAACGAUCACAGCAUGCAUAUACACAUAUUUUUGAAAGUAAUAAAAAAUGUGUGUGUGUGUUGUGAUCGUUACAAAUAGCAUUUUUAGUUACCUUCAAAAAUCAAACCUAGGACGUUAUGUUAACUCAAAGCCUAAAAAAAAUGCUCUAGAACUAGUAGGACAAUAUUGCUGACUUGGGUCAUGGCUUGUCUCUUUGUCUUCAUGGUUUUCGAUACUCUCUGGAUCACUUCCACAUAAUCAUUAUGACCUAUAAAUUCGGGUUCUUGAAAUUUGAUGAAACAAUUAAAGUUAUUAUAAUUUUUAAUAGGAUUUCCUAUUUGUAGCCGUUAGAUCAAAUUUCAAGAGUCCAAAUUUACGGAACAUGAAGCUUAGGUGGAAGGGAUCCAGAGAGAAGAUCUAUUUCCUUGUUUCUCCUCCUACCACUGCUACUAAUUUUUUUAGUUUCAAAUAUAUUAUUGGCCGGGCCCAUUCUAGGGCUCUUCCGGCCAAGCUUUUUCUUGUUUUGUUUGCCUUUCUCUGUACCAAAAAAACUAAAAAUAAUAUGUUCUUAAUCAAGCAAAACCCCUAGAUCUAAAAAAUUCAUAGCCAGGCGGACUUUUGCUCUAGCUUGGGGAUGGUGGUAGCCUCUCUGCUCCUCCUUUCCCUCACCUUUCUCUUUCCUGUUCUUAUGAAUUGAUGCAGAUUUGUUUUUCGUUUUAGUAUUUUAAUCAAUAAGUGCAUUUUUAGUGAGGUUAUUUUGAGUCACUCCUAGUGAGUAUUUUAGUUUUAAGUUGGUGUAUUAUUGGGUCUUCUUGGGUUUAUGAGGCUCUUUUUAUUAGCUUUGCUAAUGGUGUUGAGUAUAAAAUUUAUGUUGGUAUGGACGUUGGUUCGUUGUCAAUUCCUUUUCAAAGUCGACGCUACUCGUUGUCAAAAAAUGUCUUCUUACUCAUUAUAUUGCAGUUUUUGCUUUUCAGAUGCCAAUUUGUUAAAUGUUUGAACUUCGAUCAAGAAUGGAUUUCCUUUAGCUUUGGAGUGCCAUCUCAUUAUUUUGAUAUGGGUGUGGAAGAUUUAAAAAAAUUAAAUUUGUCCAUUUGCUUAGUACCCGUCUUGUCUUCCUCUCUAAUUCACAGUAUGGUGACAAUUAGUUUAACCAAGUUAGGCCUUUUAUGUUUUAUUGUAUGAUGAAACGAAGUUCUAUCUUUUGAAAUUUCCCAUCUGGUCAAUUUGGGUUCGUUACUGAUUCCACACUCAAUCAAACAAAUACCAAGAAAAAAUAUUCAUAUUCUAUAAGGAUUGCAAAAUGUGCAUGCGCAUAUUAAAAAGGUGCAUCAAUAUUUAAGGGUGACCGUUGAAAUAGUUGAUUCCUUUGACAAGAACAAGGUGUGGGUGGGGUUGUAUUAGAAAAAGAAAAAGAAAAAGAAAAAGGCAGGCAUGAAUUGGGUGGUGUUGUCUUUGAUGUAAGAUCCUAAUCGGGUAAAUAGUUAUAAUAAAGUAGUUGAAAGAUAGUUUUUGCGAGAAAAAAAAAAAUCAAAUUUAAACAUAUGUUGUAAAUUCUAUUAGAAUUCAUACAAAAUUUUAAAAUGUUGUUUUCUCUUUAUUAUUAGCAUGCAUGUGCGAGUCGAAAAUUACAUUUCUUUCCUUUCUUCUGUUCAUCGCUCUUUUCUCCAUCCCUCCCUGCAGCUAUUUUCCAUCGGUAGGUAGUACAAGGCCAUAAAGGAAAAUACUAAAUUAGCAAAGCUUAGAGUUAUUUCUAUGCAUAAAUCUCAACUGUAAGCCAUGGGUCUCGCCAAUUAAUCUUGCUGCCUAGAAGUCUUUUGUCCAAUUUUUCUAAAUUUUAAGUCAUUUCUUAUGUUCUAUCCGCGAGAAGAAAAAAAUCUUGCUGCCAAUACUUCAGACAAGGCUUUAAAUUUGAACAUUUUUACCAUACAAACUAUCUUUCGACUAAUCAAUCACCACAUGGACUAUAUAUCCAUUAGGCAUUGGUAUAAAUAACAAAACAAUAAAAAAAACGUUAAGCUAGUUCAAGAAAUGUCUACACGUGGCAGUUGUAAAAAAUUGACCAAUGUCAAGAUUUAAGUGGUUGGUUACGCUACUAACGUGGUAAACAUGAUACACACAAUAAUUGGUUGUUGUUAAGUAGUAUACCGGAUGACAAUUUAGUUAUAAAGAUAACAAAUGUUGAGAUUUAAGUGGUGUAUACGUUACACACAACUUCUUGUGGAAAUGGUUCAGCUGAGAUCCAGCAGAACGAACAUUUCUCUGUAAAUUAUCAAUACAUAUUCAAUGACCUUUUAGUUUAAAAACAGAUAUGAACUACUAGCACUAGCAGGCGACAAAAUUCAACUAUAAGAUAUCAUACAAAACAGUUGAUGCGUUUAUUUAAUGCAAAUUAGGCGUCGCAGAUUUUGUUUUAUUAGGUAAAUUCCUUUUUAGUUUAUAUUUUGUUGUCGAAUAUUUAGGUAAAACCUAUUUCCUACAUUGGAAGUUGGAACUCCACGUGCAUAAAGAACUGUAGACUUAAUAUAAAAUACAACGAGGGCCGAUCUAGAGUCUUCUGUUGCUGAGUGGACAGUGCAAAUUGACACAUGCUAUGGAUCACGACUAGAGUUAUGCUAUCUCCAUUAUUUUGUAAUUAAAAUUAAAGAAAAAUUAAUAAAAAUAAUUUUAAAAUUUUGAGUUUUAACGAUAAGGACAAAAUGAAGGAUAAAAUGAAUAGUAUUAGAAUUGAUUUUUUAAUGAAAACUAUGAUUUUUCGUUAAGAUAAACAGUACUAUAAACUUUUCGUUAAAAUUCUCUAAAAUUGAAGGAACUGAAUUAAGAAGCAAAUUGACACAUGGUGCUGAUGGAUCACAACUAGAGUUAUGCUACGUCUAUUACUCUAUAACUAGAAAUCGAGCAAUUAAAUUAAGAAGGAGAUCAAUGACUCAUAGUAUAAUUCAAGUAGAGAUUAUUUACUAAAUUAUUUGGAUCAAAGUAAAUAUGAUAAAUGAUAAAAUGAGUUGUUUUGUUGACCUGAGAUCUAAACCAAAUGAAUUCGAACUAUAAAGCCAACAUGACAAGUGUGACUGACGAUUUUAUUAGAAAAGUAUCAGCGCAAUUAUAAAUAAAUAAAUAAAAAACACUUAAUAUAAGUUAUAGUUUUGGGAUGUGCUAUCCACACACUCAUUUUUACUUUAUGUCAUUUAAUCUUUUUCAAUUCAUUUAAUCCGAUGUUCGAAAAUUAUGUUAUUUGAUAUUCUUCAAUUCAUCUAAUCCGAUGUCCGAAAAUUAAAAAGUUGUGUGAGAAGUAAAAAGGGAUGUGUGAAUAUUACACCCCAUAGUUUUUUUAUUGACAAAUGAGAAGAUAAUUUACAUUAAAUUUAUUUAAACUACGGAAAUGAGAUUCAAACAUAAAACCUUAACUGCAUGCAUGAGCGAAUACUCUUAACCAACUGAACUAUAAACCAAUAUAAAUUAUAUUUAAUUUCACCACUUUUUUAAGAUUUCUUGUAUAUAUCAUUCCUAACCAAAAAAAGUAAACCUAAGUUAUAAGAUAAGAAAACUCCAAAUAUUAGUGGAAGACAAGGAAUAAAUAAAUGUAUCCACUAAAUAUAAUUAUCCACUAAAGACAAGAUGAGUUGAACUGCUCCAUCAAUUAGGAGCCUUUUAUUCACAUCCCAUCGUCCACCUUUGCUCCUAUUCUGCGUUGGAGGAGGAGACCAAAAAAAGUAAAAAACCAAAAGGGCAAGAAAGAAAUGGGAUGGAAAAUGGGGAGAGCAUCUGCACAUCUUUUCUUCGUCUUUUCCUUUUUCAAUUUCAGAUGUAGACAAAAGAAUGGUUUUUUUUUGGGGGGGGGGGGGGGGGGGGGGGGGGGAAUCAAUCACCACCCUUCAUCCUGGACCGUAACCUAACAUUGUGGGAAUAUAGGGGAUCUAGUCUUUGAAAAACGGCUGACCACAAAACUAGUCCAUAUUGUAACACAACACAUGUAAUGGCCAAGCUCGUUUAACAAAAAGGUGGCUAGAACAUUUGAGAGAGAGAGAGAGGGGUAAAGCUUCAGUCCUACUCUUAGAGAGAGAUAUAGAGGUUGCAGUUUAUGAAGAGAUGAAUAUGAUGAAUAGCAGCAGGAACAAACUCAGUUACAUGUCAUCAGUUGUGGUUCUUGUGUUAUGCUUGAACUUGAAAGCCGCCCAUGUGUCGACGGCGUCUGGCAACAUCAUCUCCCAAGGCCAAUCUAUUUCCGGCAACCAAACAAUCAGCUCAUCACCACGCGGCAUAUUCGAGCUUGGUUUCUUCACUCCAGGUAACUCCCACAACCACUACAUAGGCAUCUGGUACAAAAAACUACAAAAAACCGUUGUUUGGGUGGCCAACAGAAACCACCCUGUUUCCGAUCCAUUUUCUUCCUCCCUUCAACUCUUCCCAAACGGAACCUUAAUACUGCUCGACCAAUCCAAAUCUUCCAUUUGGUCAACAACUCGUGAUCUCUCAGUUGCUUCUAAUUCUACCAGUGAAGUAGCAGCAGUGCUUCUUGACAAUGGCAACUUUGUCAUAACAGAUGCUUUGAAUUCGUCUGCUGUCAUAUGGCAGAGUUUCGAUCACCCGACCGACACUUGGCUGCCGGGCGGGAAGCUUGGAUACAACAAGCUGACCAAUGAGAAACUAACCCUCACUCCCUGGAGAAGCUCACAAAACCCAGCACCUGGGAUUUUCUCUCUAGAGAUCGAACGAAACGGAACAAGUUUUCUAUUGAUGUAUAAUGGGACUAAAAUGUAUUGGACCAGCGGGCCUUGGACAGGCAAGAUUUUUAAGUAUGUUCCGGAAAUUCAGUUGAAUUAUUUGGUCACGAAUAUCAGCUAUAAGUCCGAUGAAUUUGGGAGUUAUGUUUCUUAUGAUGCUGUUUUCCCCGACAUCUUUGUCCGGUACAUGCUUGAUAUCUCCGGGCAGUUCAGGGCCUACAAGUGGGGGAAGGACUAUAAUCAGUGGACUUCAUUUUGGUUGCGACCCUCCGAACAUUGCGAGGUAUAUGGAUUCUGCGGUGCUUCUAGUAUUUGCAACCAGCAACAAGUGCCCUCUUUGUGUAUGCUUGGAAGGGUUUGAACCGCGAGCUCCAAAAGACUGGGACUUGGAGGAUCACACGGAAGGGUGCGUGAGGAAAAACCCCUUUAGAAUGCAGUACAGGCAGUGGAGGAAAUGACACAUUUGUGGUGAUACCCGAUUUGCGCUUCCCAGAGAAUCCCGAGACUUUAGCAGGUAAGAACAUCGAUGAGUGUAGAUCGGCGUGCUUGAGUGAUUGCUCGUGUACAGCGUUUGCUUAUGACAGUGGGUGUUUAGUUUGGAAAGGGGAUUUGUUCAAUGUAAAACAACUUAAAUCUGAUGAGACAGUCGGCAAAGAGUUGUAUCUUCGGGUUGCAGCAUCAGAGGAACCAAAGGCGAAGAGAGAGAAUAAAACCUUUUGGAUUGUCAUUGGAGUACUUGGAGGUUUGUGUGGUGUUUUACUGGUUAUUGUGGUAAUUGCCAAGAAUGAAUGUUCCGGUUCUGGGGAAAGGUCUGAGGCAGAUGAAGGCUCUUUGACAAUGUUCAAGUACCGGGUUCUAAGAAACGCAACCAAGAACUUUACUGAAAAACUUGGGGAAGGAGGCUUUGGUUCUGUUUUCAGAGGGACACUGAAGAGUUAUACCGCCAUCGCAGUGAAGAGGCUUAACUGUCCAAAGCAAGCAGAUAAGCAAUUUCUUACAGAAGUGAGGACUCUUGGAAAGGUCCAGCACAUUAAUCUUGUUCGUCUCCGCGGAUUUUGUGCAGAAACUUCAAAAAGAUUCUUGGUUUAUGAUUACAUGCCAAAUGGUUCUCUAGAAUCUCUUUUGUUCCAGAAGAGUCCGAUUGUCUUGAAUUGGAAAACUAGAUAUCACAUUGCAGUUGGGACUGCAAGAGGACUUGCAUAUCUUCAUCAUAGUUGCAGAGAAUGCAUCAUACACUGUGACAUCAAACCUGAAAAUAUUCUGUUGGAUGCAGAAUAUGCCCCCAAAAUAGCUGAUUUUGGUCUUGCAAAGCUCGUGAGCAGAGACUUCAGCCGGGUAAUUACAACCAUGCAAGGGACAAGAGGGUAUAUUGCUCCGGAAUGGAUAUCAGGAGAAGCUAUCACAACAAAAGCCGAUGUCUUUAGCUACGGAAUGUUGUGUUUUGAGAUCAUAUCAGGAAGGAGAAACAGAGAUCUUUUGGAUGAUGGGUUGCAAAACUACUUCCCCACUCGUGUUGCAAAUGUAUUAACGAAAGGAGAAGAUGUCGAUACCUUGUUGGAUUGCAGGUUAGAAGGUAAUGCAAACAAAGAAGAAGUGAUGAGAGCAUGCAAAGUAGCAUGUUGGUGCAUUCAAGAUGACGAGAACGAUAGGCCGACAAUGGGGCAAGUUGUUCAACUUCUGGAAGGAGUCAUAGAUCUCGGCAUACCUCCUAUCCCACAGUUCCUCGACCGGUUUUCAAAGAGUCUAGGUGAGUCCAUACAUUACCAUAACAUUUCUUCCAGUACUGCUUCGGAUUCAAGGCGUGGCUGCUCGAGUAGUAUUACUAUAUCUGGAGCUUAAACUUAAAAGCUACUAAUUUCCAACUUUCAAAUUUCCAUUUUCUUUAUUUUUGUUAACUUGCAGGAGGUUGUGAGUCCCCUCAUCCUCCCAAGUAGUUUUGCUUUACAAUGUAAAAAUUGUUGAAAUAGUUAUCCAAACUUCAGUCUUUCUUGUCGUGUACUUCUCUUUAUUUUCACCAAUUAAAUUAGAAUAUCGCUUGAAUAAAGGAAUAAACAAUUAAAAUCUUAUUUGGCCCAAAAUCUUAUUUGGAAUUCCCGCAAAUAGCAUUUUCACAGAAAGAAAAAUAGUGUGCUAUGUAAAAAGGAUAUUCGAUAGAAAACGUGGACUGGAAAAGACAGUGUACCAAACAUGUUUUGGAAAUUCUACUGUUUUGACAAAUCCCAGGGAAUGUUGAGUUAUAUAUGUAACGUCAAUAACCACGGAAUCCUCCGCAAUGAUGACCGCACGUUUAAAAUGUCGUGGACUGCAACCCAACUUUCAAAGUUCAACGUCCUAUUUUCUUACUUUUCAGCCGUCUGGUUAAAAUUACACAGCUGAAAUGUUAAAAUUAAGGUACGGUACAAGGUUGAAAGUGAUGUGUUAUUAUACAUGAAAUGGCUUGAACAACAUGAAUGAUGAUAUCUCAAUCGAAUAUCAAAUUUUAUAUUGAGGUAUUGGUGCUAAAUAUAGACAUCAUAUCAACAAUAUCGAUAACAUAUCAAUCUCUACCGAAUAUUAAUGACACUAACAACUACAUUAGUGAAUAUCGUUGCUUCCGCCGACGUUAUUGACACUUCCGACAUGUCCUUCAUUUCACCCUUGGUUUAUUUGUUUUUCGUUUUGGGUUGGGGAUCACAUAUGGGUGGCAACUGAUUGUACGAUUUUUUUUUCUUUGGUUAAUAUCAGUUUACUACUCUCAUGUUUCAUGAUUUUCAACCUUUAGUACAUCAAACUUGUUUUAUCCCAGAGUCAUACCUAAUGUGUUAAUUUUGGAACAGUCUCAUACAUCCGUUAGUCAAACUGUUAAGUCUGCCAUUAAUUGAUGAUGUAACGCCUAUGUGGAUAAUGAUUGAGCGCCAACUCGUCUUCUCCCUCCCUCAUCCCCCCGCACCCUCUUCCUCCCUUCUCUCUUCUGCAACCCGCACCCCUUCCCUCCCUUCUCUCUUCUACAACCUGCACCACCUUGCCUUCUCUCCUCCUUCCUCCCUUAUCCCUCCAUUAUCUCCUUUGCACCAACCCACCAAACCCUAGUUUUAUAAAAUUUCAUCAAAUCUGUCGGCUGAUUAACAAAAUACAGGCAUCUAUCAAUUAGCAAGCAGAAUAAUCCUAAAACUUUCCUCGACUAAUCAGUGAUUCUUUACGGUACACAGCUUCUAUUUUUCAUGUUGUUCCAUUGCUGCAUAACAAGCUUUUGGUUGUAGUUGUUGGGUUCUGAAAGGUUGCAACGCGUACACAAGUUUCGUGAACUUGGAUCAGGGUUUGCCCGUUGAUCGAUGGCCUGAACCGGGAAUGGGGUUACAAUGGGCAUCGCCAAGGGUGCCCGAGUGUGGGACGCAGGCGGAUUGUGAGGGGAAGUCCACUUAUAGGUUUGACCCGGCUGUCGGGGUGCUAGUAAUUGACGAGCAGGUAGACAUUGAAGACGAAGAUGAUGAUGCAGAGAACAAUGGUGACGAUGACGAGCGCAAGGUUGAAAUCACCCCUCACGGCGGCGGCGUUUUAGCUGCUCUCGAAUCGAAUCGAAUCAGAGAGAUGGAGAUGGGGAAUCAGAAAUUAAGGUUAGGGAUGUGAAAUUACGCGUUCAAGUGAUCGCAGAUCUCUAUCGUUGAUCCGAAAAGGAGUAGAGCCAUUAAGUAUGACUCUGGAUGAAAAAACUUGUUGUACUAAAUAUUGAAAACCAAUUUCAUUAAGGUAGUAAACUGAUAUUUACCAUUUUUUUUUUUUGUCAAAGGAAACAUUACCAUUCCAACGAAGCACAAAUACAUAAUGGUCUAGAUACACCAAGUCAGAACAAGAGUAGGAUCAGAGACCUUAAAACCAUACAAACCAUACAAACCAUACAAACCAAAACACCAUACAAACCAAAAAACCUAAGUAAUUUACACCCCUGCCAUCACCAUAACAUCUCAGAUUCUCUAUCAUCUUGCAGCCUAAAUUCCGAUCAAACAAAUUCUCAGGAAGGAGAAAACACACAGCUACAUCACCCUUGAACCAACACCAGACGAUCAGCCACCACAUCACAAGAGAAACUAACAGGGAAGCAGAUAGGAAAACCAGAGGCAUCCGUUCCAACAAAGGCACACAAGUAGAAGGUGGUGGUGUAAACACCAGAGUCAGAGCUCUACACACCUUCCGGCAAAUUUAGAGGAUGAGAAAAAGAAAGAAAAGAGAACAUAGUGGAAAGAAAUAGGAGAAGUGGGAAGAAAUUAGCUCUCUGAAACAUGGAUGAAAGGAAAGGAGGACAAGAAAUUUGAAGAUCGAAGUUCAGAAUUGCAAAGUAGAACACCAAUAGAUUGGAUGGAGAAUCAAAAUAUAGCAGGGGGAAAUAUAAACAAAACUAGAGGUUGUCGUCGACCCCGGCCAUGCCUAGGGCCGACGGCUGAACGAAAAUCGGAUCGGGAAAGCUCACACACCAACAAUGCGAUAAGUUCUCAUAGAGAGAAAACUCUCACCGGAACGGGUGAUAAGUUUGUCUUGUUGUAGGAUUACAUG